GUAAAGGUCAUCGAUACUGUCAAUAGUACAGUAUAUGUUAUCAAUACUAUCUAUUCUACAGUAUAGAUAAUCAACUCUAAUCAACUCUCUAUAUUAAAUGAUUACCAAUACUCUAUAUUGCGUUAUAGGUUAUCAAUACUAUCUAUAUUACAUAUUGGUUAUCAAUACUAUCUAUAUUAGAGUAUAGUUUAUAAAUACUAUAUUACAGUACAGGUUAUCAAUAUUGUCAAUAUUACCUUUCUUUCUCUCUCUCUCUCUCCCCCUCCCCUCUCUCUCUCCCCCAUCUCUCUCUCCCCCAGUCCCUCCCCUUGUGUCUCUGACAGCUGCAGCCUCCACAGACACCAGCAGCCUCGCCCUCCUCCUCCCCCAUCUUCCCCCUGCCUGCCCCCUCCUCCUCAGCCCUCCUCUCCUGCCCGGGACAUCAAGGAGAACAAGAGGGUCCACUUUGAUCUGGAGAGUCUACACAGCUACCGUCUACACACACACACCGCCUCGUUCUGGGGACGUCCUGGCAUGGUGGGGCGACACGGCCUGGGAGGGUGUCUGGGUGGUUUAUCUCCUCCUCAGGUUAGCCUGCAUGCUAACGGUGGCCCAGCAUCGGCCCUGGCCUCCCCCGGCCUGGCCCUGCCUCCUCUGGGGAACCCAGGCAACCAGGCCUUCCUGUGGGAGGGAGAGCUCCUGGAGGUCCAGGGGAGGAUCGAGACGUUCACAGCCCAGCUGAGAGACGCCGUGGCCAGGAGAGCCGAGAUACAGACCUGCCUGGAGAACCAUAAAAUGAACUUGAGCGCAGCUACUGCUGUCAAACUGGAGAAAGACAAGGUUGGCCAGUCACAAAGCCUGGAGAGAGUGAGAACCAACGCAGAGAAAGAUAGAACCAAGGAAGAGAGAGAGGGGCUCAACCAGGAGAAAGGGAGGAGUGGCAGAUCAAACCUCUGUUGCAGCCUGGACAGAAACAGAGACAGAGACAGGACAGGCAGGGACAGUUCCACUAUGAGACAAACAGCCAGACAGGACACAGACAGGGACAGACUGUUACACCAAUCAGAAACUGAGAGAGACCGAGAUGACCAAUCAAAAAGCCUGGACAGAAAUGGGAGCAGCCAAUCACAUGCCUCCAACAUUCUGCAGACAGGGAGGAACAGCCAAUCAGAAGCUCUGACCAUCCUACAGAGGAGAGAGAUCCAAUCAAAAACCUCCACCAGCCUGGACAGAGAGACAUCCAACCAAUCAGGUGCUGUCAAUACACUGCAGGGAGAAAGAACUGUCCAAUCACAUAACUCCACCAGCCUGGAGAGAGGAAGAGUCAGGCAAUCAGGUGCAGUGAAAGACCAGGAGAGGGGGAGAACUGUCCAAACACGGACAGGGGCUAGUCUGGACAGACUGAAAGCUAGCCAAUCCAGUGCCGGCACUGGGAAUCUGGUUAGAGAACGUCCCGCCCCCAUGGACACCCAGAAGAGUUUGUGUUAGUCGUUUGAUUGGUUAUUUAUAAGAACACAAAAGACCAAUUAGAGGGCUGGAAAAGAAUAUAACAGGUCCAAAUGAUGAUGAGUUUAAAAAAACAAUGACAGAGAUGUGGCACUGGUCCAUUUGCCUCUGAUGUCAACGGCUGCUGUCUGUUAACAAAAUGUCUGAUCAGAACUUUACCCAUCUACUGUUUGUCUCCACUAGGUGUGUUUCCUUUUUGUUUCUAACUACUAAUAGCUCUUUCUCUUCAUCUCGUACCCCUGGGUUGUGUUCACUAGGAACCAAACAGAAGCAAACAGAACAAAACGGGAAGGGACCUACCUGAAUUUGUCCAAUAGACAAAUCUCGUUUUUGUUGCAGAAGGUUUUUCUGCUUGGAGCGAACGAACGGUUUCCGUUGCAAUGGUUUGUGACACUGUAUACACCCCAGGUCUGUAGUCAGUUCUGAGUGGGUCAUUCAAGGUACACAUGGGGCUCCUAAAUGUUCAAUCAAGUGCUAUCUCCGCCCGACCGGGUAAGAAUCGGCUAUCCCAGAGGGCAAACUACACGUGUCCACUGUCAUUGUCCUGACUGAUCCUCUAUAAGGACCUUGAGUUGGUUUGAUACUAUGCAGUUGAAUUGAAUUUCAUUUAAUGGAAUUUGGAUGUCAUGGUGGUGUCAAAUGUAUGUAACAAAAGUCGAACCUGGAAGUGGAUGAAAAAGGUGGACGUGGAAAGAGAGAAGGCGGUUGUAUUUCAGCCUAUAGCAGGUGUUUUAGAAGAGAUGCAGGUUGCUAGGUUACCUGUAGAGGACUGAGGAGUGUUGUAGAUAUGUUGUUCUGGUGUUGAUGGGCCGUGUUCGGUGUCCCAUAAUGCUGCCUAUUAACAACAGCUAUAUUCUCAAACACAACAGAAUUGUAUCAGCAUAUUAUUGGGACUCGUAUCAUGUUGUUGUAUAUCAUUUCCAUAUUUUUAAAUUAAACAUUUAUAUACUGGUUUUAAUGCAACAAAUUA
ensembl:lncRNA